ensembl:snoRNA SNORA17A small nucleolar RNA SNORA17
ACUGCCCCUAGAGGCGUUGCAGGGGUGGCUGCCGUGCUGCUUCUGUGUCAUUAGGUGGCAGAGAGAAGAGAGGCUAUGUCUACGCUCAGUGUUCCAGCCGUGAACAACCUGAAUGAUUAAUAGUCAGACACUA